AUACGUAGGGGGCUAGCGUUAUCCGGAAUUACUGGGCGUAAAGGGUGCGUAGGUGGUUUCUUAAGUCAGAAGUGAAAGGCUACGGCACAACCGUAGUAGGCUUUUGACACUAAGAGCAUUGAGUGCAGGAUCGGAGUGUAGAGUUCCUAGUGUAGCGGUGAAAUGCGUAGAUAUUAGGAGGAAUACCAGUUGCGAACGGGGCUCUCUGGACUGUAACUGACACUGAGGCACGAAAGCGUGGGGAGCAAACAGGAUUAGAUCCCCUGGUAGUCCACGCCGUAAACGAUGAGUACUAGCUGUCGGGGGUUACCCCCCUCGGUGGCGCAGCUAACGCAUUAAGUACUCCGCCUGGGAAGUACGCUCGCAAGAGUGAAACUCAAAGGAAUUGACGGGG
rnacentral:rRNA from 1 species